GGGGAAUAUUGGACAAUGGGCGCAAGCCUGAUCCAGCCAUACCGCGUGGGUGAAGAAGGCCUUCGGGUUGUAAAGCCCUUUUGUUGGGAAAGAAAUCCAUCCGGCUAAUACCUGGUUGGGCUGACGGUACCCAAAGAAUAAGCACCGGCUAACUUCGUGCCAGCAGCCGCGGUAAUACGAAGGGUGCAAGCGUUACUCGGAAUUACUGGGCGUAAAGCGUGCGUAGGUGGUGUUUAAGUCCGUUGUGAAAGCCCUGGGCUCAACCUGGGAACUGCAGUGAAUACGGGGCGACUAGAGUAGGGUAGGGGGUAGCGGAAUUCCGGGUGGAGGAGUGAAGUGCGUAGAGAUCAGGAGGAACAUCCAGGGCGAAGGAAGCUACCUGGAGCAACACUGACACUGAGGCAAGAAAGCGUGGGGCGCAAACA
rnacentral:rRNA from 1 species